GUCACAACCAAUUAGUUGCACCUCCCCAGCUCCUAGAAGAUGAUGGAGAGCAGCUGUGCCUGCAAUGCCCAGUCCCUGGUUACCUGUUCAUCUGUCCCCACCAGCUCCUCUGGCUGCAAAAGGCAUAAAGUCCUGGGUUUUGCAUGAACACAAACUCAUCGUGAUCCUGCUCGGAGGCACACGGCAACACCAGGACUUGUCAGCGCCUUUCAGGUGGUGCAGCAGAGGACUUGUGGUCCCAAAAGCACACCCUCAGAAGUGAAGGUCCAUCCCAGCCCAGGUUCAGAGGAGGGAGAAGGAACCAGAGCAGUGCCCAGCAAACCACACAGCACAAGGGAUCUGCAGGAGCUUUACAUGAAGUCGAACUUCACUUCCCUUGUCAGCCUGCUCUGAGUGACUCACUGAAGGUGCUGAACAGACUAACGAGUGGGAGGAGGAAACGGGCGGGGGGAGAGGAAGAAAGGGAGACAGGCAGUAAGAUGAAACUAGGAACAUUGAUAUAUAUGACCAAAAAAAAAAGAAGAGAGACUGUUUUUUUAGAAAGUUGCACUACUCCUUCCACUAGUCCUUUUCGAACUCUAAUGUGAAUGGCGUAGAAUCAAACAUCUCCGAGAUUUGAGGAAGAAAAAAAGAAGUAUGAAUAGCUAAAGUGAGAUGAUAUCACGUUUAACCUGAUAUUUAUGAUGAAACUCCAGGGGUUUUAUUUAUUCAGAUGUCACUUACUGUUCAUCCCAAGCGUAACAGAGGACAUGUUGGAAUUGCAAUCUUUAUUUAGGGUUUGUUAGCAUGAUUCAAUUUUUUACUGCCCUUUUGGGAGUUAUUUUUCAUCUUUAGGCAGAUAUCACUGCUAAGAGGAAAAGAGGUGGGGUUUUUUUUAUAUUAUUUUUUCUUUUUUCUUUUUUUUUUUCCCUAGCUCCUUGGGCAAGAUGGUUAUUAAGCAAAUGGGAAUUUGAGUUUUUGAAUUUGCUGGGGUGUGUGCUGGGCUGUCCCCUGACCUGUGAUAGGACAUACUGCAGUCUGGUUUUUUUAAAGGAUCAGAGCUAUAGGGCAGGAGUGACUCCUUUGGGCAUCUCUGCUUUGAAGAUACUGCAAAAAAGCAAGUAAUGCUUAACACCAAACCAGAAUUUUUACUGUUAUUGAAGACAGGGUAUUUUGCGUAGAGUACUGUGAUUGGCACAGCGUCUCUAAAGACCAAAAGUCAUGUAUAUUACUUUUCCUGGAGAGGCUCCCUGUAUCCUAACCUGCCCAUGUUCCUCUCAUCCUUUUCCUACCCCAUCCUACUUUAAGUCUCACCAGGAUCUCUUGAGAGCUGUUUCUUAUCAGAGCCUCUGAGUUUGCCAACCUCUGCAUUGGUGGUGUGACGUACACAAACAAAGAUUUCUCCGAGAUAAUUGUCUUCAUUCAGGGAGUAAUUUGAGAUUUAUAUCCUGAUGUCCAUAAAUAAAAGGCCACAAAGUCUAUGGCUGAGCA
rnacentral:lncRNA from 1 species